rnacentral:rRNA from 1 species
AUUGAACGCUGGCGGCAGGCCUAACACAUGCAAGUCGAGCGGAUGAAGGGAGCUUGCUCCUGGAUUCAGCGGCGGACGGGUGAGUAAUGCCUAGGAAUCUGCCUGGUAGUGGGGGAUAACGUCCGGAAACGGGCGCUAAUACCGCAUACGUCCUGAGGGAGAAAGUGGGGGAUCUUCGGACCUCACGCUAUCAGAUGAGCCUAGGUCGGAUUAGCUAGUUGGUGGGGUAAAGGCCUACCAAGGCGACGAUCCGUAACUGGUCUGAGAGGAUGAUCAGUCACACUGGAACUGAGACAAGGUCCAGAAUACUACGGGAGGCAGCAGUGGGGAAUAUUGGACAAUGGGCGAAAGCCUGAUCCAGCCAUGACGCGUGUGUGAAGAAGGUCUUCGGAUUGUAAAGCACUUUAAGUUGGGAGGAAGGGCAGUAAGUUAAUACCUUGCUGUGUUGACGUUACCAACAGAAUAAGCACCGGCUAACUUCGUG